UAAAAAACUAAGAUCUUUUAAACACACCUGACUGAUCAAAAAUAUGCCUAAGUAAGUAUUCUGCACUGGUGUUGUCUAUUUUAUUAUUCUCAUUAUGUUUCCUUUUUGAAUUCUUAAGACAAACGCUGGAAGGAGUAUGACCUUCUACAGCAAGACAGCAAAGGUGCAAAGGAGGGAAGAUGCUACAUAGCGCGUGUGUUUUAAAGAAAUGCGAAUAUUAAAUGAGAAAAAAAGAGUAUUAGUUUUUUAAAAAACGGGAGUGUACAGGUAUGCAACAACAGGAGAAAACACAGCACAAAACAAAACUUAAGAAGCAUUGCUGGCUCUUCAGUUAAAACCUACACAAUGGCCCUAAUACAAAUGAUUGCCAUAUUGAAUUAGUCCUGAGUUGAAAUUGAAACUCAUGACUAGUGUUUUAUGCAUUUUGCUUAAAUCACCAAAUACAAGCGACUGAAUUGAACUGUUGUAUCCCUUCUACUACAAAUUCCUAAAUUAUACAAAUCCCUUCAUUUCCUUCUUUCCUUCUUCCUUCCCCCUCCCUCCCUACUUCUUUCUUUCUCUUUCUUUCUUUCUUUCUUUCUUUCUUUCUUUCUUUCUUUCUUUCUUUCUUUCUUUCUUUCUUUCUCUUUCUUUCUUUCCUUCUCUCUCCCUCUUUCUUUUUUUCUUCUUUCUUUCAUCUCUCUCUCUCUUUCUCCCUUUUUAUACACUUAGUCAUGCUAUAAAUAGUAAGAGGUAAAAGAAAUAAAAACAAAAAUAAUUACAGGCCCAAAUUUAUUAUCUUCAAAGGAAAUUACAGAGAAGAAACAAGAGGGAUUUCCCUCCAUCAUGUUUCUAUACACGCACAAUAUUCCAACUAAAGUGUGUUACCAGUGAUCUAUGUUAUUUUUACAAACAAAGUGAGUGGUUUGAAGAAAGUGGAAAGAUGUGUCUUCUAAGAAAACCACAGUUACGUGAGUGGUAAAUGGAAACAGUGAGACUCUUACCUUCUAAGCUAUGGGAUCUGUUAGCUCUGCAUCCUUGUAUCUCAGUGACUCAGGGCAGGUCCCUAAGCCUCCUUGAGAACCUUGUUUUCAGUAUUCAUGGAAAAGGAGAAUCUGCAACAUGCAUAAAAUUCUAUGUCUGCAUCUUGCGGGUAUUAAAAUCCAGUUCCCUGCAUGCAUGCCCCAGUUUAAGUGAAUGGCUGAUCCUAUCCUCGCCAUCCUGAACUUUUUAGCUUUCUUUAAGAGAUGAUAAAUGAGGGAACAAAAGGAUCUUCCUUUGCAUGACAGCAGCACUUUUGGGAGGCUGAACAUGUACCUCUGACUCAAGGCUGAGUUAUUAUAAGAAAAACAGAAAAGGAAGGAAGAAGGUUUUAAUUUCCCACUGUUGAAGACAGUUUGUCAGGAUGAGAGACGGACAGAUGGAGCGUGCACAGACCUGCGCUUCUCUUCAGGGAUGAAUAGGGCAAGUGUUUCAUUCAUGACGUCUUCAAAGCAUUGCCUGGAAUGCAAAAUGACAUGAUUUUUCUGGAAUACUAGUCUGUUUGAAAGGCCAAGGAAAGGCAAUACAUUUUGAAUGCAUACUUGGGUGCCUUCAAGGUCUCCUUCUACAACCAGAAUGGAGAUGUCCCUGAAAGGCUGUCCACAGAGAAAAAAGAAAUAUGGUUAAAAUUCCGUUCUUCCAGAUUUUUUUUUUUUUUUUGCCUGCAUUGUAUAAUUGAAGAUGUCUUCUAAGCAGAAACAGACCUUUGUUUCAUAUGGGAAAAAAAUACAUAGACUACUGAGAAAUACAGAUAACAAGAAGAUUGCUGCCACUUCCCAGUUAAGGAAUGCAUUGCUUUCACCCACAGAGGUCCCUGCUGCCUGUGACUCCAUCACAAGAAUCAAUCCAUCUGUCUUUCUGCCACCACAGACAUCUCCCUAAAUUGAUCUAAUCUUGUUUCUAUUCUUAAAAUCCUUUGGAUGGCUUCUUGUUAAUAGAUAAUUGAAGUUUAGUACUACAGUCUUUCUAUCUCCCUUUCCUUCCUGAUUGUCAAACCACUGUGACCCAAUAAAUCUCACUUAAUUUUUUUAAUUGUAUGGAAAUUUAAAAAUGACACAUGUUUUAUCAUGUGCCUGGGUUGCUCUACCCGUCUUUUCAAAGUUCUUUCCAUUUUUCAAAGUCUAGCUCAGCACCUACAUCUUCAAAUGGUAAAGCUUCUCUAAUUUUUUUUGCAUGAAAUGAAUAUGCCCAUCGAAUCAGG
rnacentral:lncRNA from 1 species